AUAUAGUUUUACAAUCUUGCAAAGAGUAGAAUCAACGCUUACCCGAAACACAGAUACUUUAAAUCAGCAUUCGAAAGUACUGCAAAAAUACUACGAAUACUCCAAAGAGGUUUAUAUUAUAUUUACAUUAUACUGUGUAGGUCAUUAUAGUAGAUAUUCCUAAAAUGUGCUAAAUGUUAUCAAAGGUACCGUGGUUAUAAUAUAAUACGUCAGACGCGCGUUUCGUCUAAAUAAGACUCAUCAGUGACGCUCAGAUCAAAAAAGUUAUAAAGACAAACAAGUACAAAGUUGAAGAGCAUUGAGGACCUAAAAUUCUAAAAUGUUGUGCCAAACUAAACUUAGUUGUACUUUCUUUUAUGUACAUGUAUCUUUGUCAUGUUUGUUAAACACACUGAUCGAGGCCUACAGGGAUUGAGAUACAAAAUAACUAUUUAAUACUCGCCAUAUGUUUAUCUUAGAAGCCUUUUCUGUAAUUUUCUUUUUUUGGAGGAAGAAAUGACAUAUUUGGACUGUGAUUUUACUGGCAGAUAUUUGACAGUCUUUAUUGCAAUUUUUACAACGUAUAAAGUUACAGUUUGACGUAUCUUAUAUAUUCUUCUUAUCAAGUGUUAAUCACCGUUUUGUGUAAUGGUGUUUUUGUAGAAAUGUUGCGUCUCAUUACGAAAAUGCAAUUUUGUAAAUUUUGUUUGUAAAAAAUAGCAGAUUUUUUAUAGUCAAUAUUAAACGGAAUAGUCCAGCUAGGGAUUGAUUAACAUUAAUAUUGGAAUUAAAUGUAUUUCAAACUAGCUCUCAUUUGAAGAAUCAUAUUUUUACUCUUUAUUUUUCACAAAACAUUUUAGCUUUUAUUAUGGGUUACAAAGCAAAACAAUCUUAGAAAAGCAUGUUUAAUUGCGAAAUUACGCAAAAUCAUGACUUGCAUAUGCUAAGACAGAAAAUAGCAAUCAGUUUGUUUUGUGUACGACUCUAGUGCGCUAUGUUGAUAUACCCAAAACAUUUAUCUCAACAAGAGAUCAAAUGACACAAUUAACAACCAUAGGUCACCGUACAGCCUUCAACAAUGCGCAAAGCCCAUACAACAAAGUCAGCUAUAGAAGGCCCCGAACUGACAAAUGUAAAACAAUACAAACGAAAAAAAUAUUGGCCUAAUUUAUGUACAAAAAAUAAACGAUGUACUUCAAAUGAUGUACUUAGAAUAAUUUCUGAGAUAGAGGAUAUGCAUACAUUCAACUCCCAUUUAUAUAUCAAACUCGAAACUGGGUUAAAGCUUUACCUUUUUUUCAAGUUAAUUAUAGUUCUUGAAUCUAAAAAGCUGACAAUUGUUUACUGUUUAUUUUUUAUCCCACAGAACAACUUGUCCAUUUAAGAGAACUUGCUUAUGGAAAACUAACCAAGCAAAGUUCAGAUACAAAUAUUUUUCAUACCAGUCGUUUUGCUUUUAAUGGACAAUUAGACACAAUGAUUCAAACACAUCUUGAACAGUCGCCUUACUGAAAAGUGGAUUUAGGAAAAUCAUACAAGAUAAAGCGGGUAGAAAUUUUCAAUAGGAAAGAUUGUUGUGGAAAG
rnacentral:lncRNA from 1 species